AACGAACGCUGGCGGCAUGCCUAACACAUGCAAGUCGAACGAGGCCUUCGGGCUUAGUGGCGCACGGGUGCGUAACGCGUGGGAAUCUGCCCUUGGGUUCGGAAUAACAGUUAGAAAUGACUGCUAAUACCGGAUGAUGUCUUCGGACCAAAGAUUUAUCCCCCAAGGAUGAGCCCGCGUAGGAUUAGGUAGUUGGUGGGGUAAUGGCCCACCAAGCCGACGAUCCUUAGCUGGUCUGAGAGGAUGAUCAGCCACACUGGGACUGAGACACGGCCCAGACUCCUACGGGAGGCAGCAGUGGGGAAUAUUGGACAAUGGGCGAAAGCCUGAUCCAGCAGUGCCGCGUGAGUGAUGAGGGCCUUCGGGUUGUAAAGCUCUUUUACCAGGGAUGAUAAUGACAGUACCUGGAGAAUAAGCUCCGGCUAACUCCGUGCCAGCCGCCGCAGUAA
rnacentral:rRNA from 1 species